GAUGAAGAACGCAGCGAAAUGCGAUAAGUAGUGUGAAUUGCAGAAUUCAGUGAAUCAUCGAAUCUUUGAACGCACAUUGCGCCCCUUGGUAUUCCGAGGGGCAUGCCUGUUCGAGCGUCAUUAUAACCCCUCAAGCUCAGCUUGGUGUUGGGGCCUGCCGCACGGGCAGCCCUUAAAAUCAGUGGCGGUGCCAUCUGGCUCUAAGCGUAGUAAUUCUUCUCGCUAUAGAGUCCCGGUGGAUGCUUGCCAUUAACCCCCAAUUUUCUAUGGUUGACCUCGGAUCAGGUAGGGAUACCCGCUGAACUUAAGCAUAUCAAUAAGCGGAGGA
rnacentral:misc_RNA from 1 species